UUCGAUUAUGGCUCAGAUUGAACGCUGGCGGGAUGCUACACAUGCAAGUCGAACGGCAGCACGGACUUCGGUCUGGUGGCGAGUGGCGAACGGGUGAGUAAUGUAUCGGAACGUGCCUAGUAGCGGGGGAUAACUGCGGCGUAGCUAUCACCAUACGCCCUUCAGGAGAGCGGGGACCUUCGGGCCUCGCCAUUAGAGCGGCCGAUAUCGGAUUAGCUAGUUGGUGGGGUAACGGCUCACCAAGGCGACGAUCCGUAGCUGGUUUGAGAGGACGACCAGCCACACUGGGACUGAGACACGGCCCAGACUCCUACGGGAGGCAGCAGUGGGAAUUUUGGACAAUGAGGGAAACCCUGAUCCAGCCAUCCCGCGUGUGCGAUGAAGGCCUUCCGGGUUGUAAAGCACUUUUGGCAGGAAAGAAACGGCACGGGAUAAUACCCCGUGCAACUGACAAUACUACGAAUAACUUCAGCUAACUACGUGCCAGCAGCCGCGGUAAUACGUAGGGUGCAAGCGUUAAUCGGAAUUACUGGGCGUAAAGCGUGCGCAGGCGGUUCGGAAAGAAAGAUGUGAAAUCCCAGAGCUUGCUUUGGAACUGCAUUUUUAACUACCGAGCUAAGUGUAUGUCAGAGGGAGGUGGAAUUCCGCGUGUAGCAGUGAAAUGCGUAGAUAUGCGGAGGAGGAACACCGAUGGCGAAGGCGACCCUCCUGGGAUAACACUG
rnacentral:misc_RNA from 1 species